GAUGAACGCUGGCGGCGUGCCUAAUACAUGCAAGUCGAACGAAACUUCUUUAUCACCGAGUGCUUGCACUCACCGAUAAAGAGUUGAGUGGCGAACGGGUGAGUAACACGUGGGCAACCUGCCCAAAAGAGGGGGAUAACACUUGGAAACAGGUGCUAAUACCGCAUAACCAUAGUUACCGCAUGGUAACUAUGUAAAAGGUGGCUAUACUACCGCUUUUGGAUGGGCCCGCGGCGCAUUAGCUAGUUGGUUGGGUAAAGGCUUACCAAGGCAAUGAUGCGUAGCCGAAUUGAGAGGUUGAUCGGCCACAUUGGGACUGAGACACGGCCCAAACUCCUACGGGAGGCAGCAGUAGGGAAUCUUCCACAAUGGGCGAAAGCCUGAUGGAGCAACGCCGCGUGGGUGAAGAAGGUCUUCGGAUCGUAAAACCCUGUUGUUAGAGAAGAAAGUGCGUGAGAGUAACUGUUCACGUUUCGACGGUAUCUAACCAGAAAGCCACGGCUAACUACGUG
rnacentral:rRNA from 1 species